UACGGAGGGUGCGAGCGUUGUCCGGAAUCACUGGGCGUAAAGGGCGCGUAGGCGGCGCGGGUAGUCAUCGGUGAAAGUUCAGGGCUCAACUCUGAAUCGGCCGGUGAUACUCCCGUGCUCGAGCACUGUAGAGGCAGGUGGAAUUCCGGGUGUAGGCGGUGGAAUGCGUAGAGAUCCGGAAGAACACCGGUGGCGAAGGCGGCCUGACUGGG
rnacentral:rRNA from 1 species